UGACUUGUUGGAAAGAUAUUGUGAAUCUAUGAUACCAAGAAGGCAGUACCAAAAUUUGGGAUCUAUGACAGUUCAUCUCGAAUCCACACACAACCUCAGUAUUUGUUUCCUACAAAAGUGACUGCAAAUUGUAGCUUUACGAGAGGCCACCAACUCGCAUGGAUGAACUCGAUGUCCUGGUCACAAGAAAUCCACUUUCACCAGACGUGAACUUUAAUUCAAGGGCUUGUGAGCUUGUUCUUGAAUCAAUGGUUAAUGCCUUCAGCUUCUUGCUUGUCGAAGGAUCUUUGAAGUCUUCGGCUUUUGAAGGUUUUGACUUGUUGAUGAAGUUCUUUGGAUUGUAGCUUGAUGAAGACUUUGUGAGGUCUUCGACUUUGAGCUUAUUGAAGAAUCUUUGAAGUCUUCGACUUUGCGCUCGUGAAGUUCUUCGAUUUU